UACAGAGGGUGCAAGCGUUGUUCGGAAUCAUUGGGCGUAAAGGGCGCGUAGGCGGCCCGGUAAGUCAAAGGUGAAAUCCCUCGGCUCAACUGAGGAACUGCACGGGAGACUGCCGGGCUUGAGUUCGGGAGAGGGAAGCGGAAUUCCGGGUGUAGCGGUGAAAUGCGUAGAUAUCCGGAGGAACACCGGUGGCGAAGGCGGCUUCCUGGACCGACACUGACGCUGAGGCGCGAAAGCUAGGGGAGCAAACGGG
rnacentral:rRNA from 1 species